CCUCGACGCACGGUGAAGGGGCAGGGCGCGCGGGCGGAGCCUCAGCGGGGUCGGAGCUGAGAGGAGAAGGCGGGGAAAGGCGGCGAACUGAGGGGGAUCGGGGAGGGGCGGGAAGGUGGCGGCCAGAACAUGGCGGAACAGAUCCCUCUGUACCCGGUGCGCAGCGCGGCGGCCGCGGCCAGCUGCAAACGUGCGGCCUACUUCAGCGCGGCGGGGCCCGGGCCGGGGGCCGAGCGGUCCAGCAGGUACCAGCUGGAAGAUGAGUCUGCCCAUUUGGAUGAAAUGCCAUUAAUGAUGUCUGAAGAAGGCUUUGAGAAUGAUGAAAGUGAUUACCACAAAUUACCACGAGCUAGGAUCCUGCGAAGAAAGAGAGGCCUAGAGUGGUUUGUCUGUGGAGGAUGGAAGUUCCUCUGUACCAGUUGCUGUGAUUGGCUGAUAAAUAUUUGUCAAAGAAAGAAAGAAUUGAAAGCUCGUACAGUGUGGCUUGGAUAUCCGGAAAAGUGUGAAGAAAAACAUCCCAGAAAUUCUAUAAAAAAUCAGAAAUACAAUGUAUUUACCUUUAUACCUGGGGUUUUAUAUGAACAAUUCAAGUUUUUCUUGAAUCUCUAUUUUCUGGUAGUAUCCUGCUCACAGUUUGUGCCAGCAUUGAAAAUAGGCUAUCUCUACACCUACUGGGCUCCUCUGGGGUUUGUCUUGGCUGUUACUAUCAUGAGGGAAGCAAUUGAUGAAUUUCGGCGUUUUCAGCGAGACAAGGAAGUGAAUUCACAACUAUACAGCAAGCUUACAGUAAGAGGUAAAGUGCAAGUUAAGAGUUCAGACAUACAAGUUGGAGACCUCAUCAUAGUGGAAAAGAAUCAAAGAAUUCCAUCGGACAUGGUAUUUCUUAGGACAUCAGAAAAAGCAGGUUCAUGUUUUAUUCGAACUGAUCAACUCGAUGGUGAAACUGACUGGAAGCUGAAAGUGGCGGUGAGCUGCACGCAGAGGCUGCCGGCUCUGGGGGACCUUUUUUCUAUCAAUGCUUAUGUUUAUGCUCAGAAGCCACAACUGGAUAUUCAUAGUUUUGAAGGCACAUUUACCAGGGAAGAUAGUGAUCCACCCAUUCAUGAAAGUCUCAGCAUAGAAAAUACCUUGUGGGCAAGCACUGUUGUUGCAUCAGGUACUAUAAUAGGUGUUGUCAUUUAUACUGGAAAAGAGACUCGAAGUGUAAUGAACACAUCCAAUCCAAAAAGUAAGGUUGGUUUGCUGGACCUUGAGCUCAAUCAGCUGACCAAAGCGCUGUUUUUGGCGUUGGUUGCCCUCUCGGUUGUCAUGGUGACCUUGCAGGGAUUCUCAGGUCCCUGGUACCGCAGUCUCUUCCGCUUUCUCCUGCUCUUCUCCUACAUCAUUCCCAUAAGUUUGCGUGUGAACCUGGACAUGGGCAAAGCCGCCUACGGGUGGAUGAUUAUGAGAGAUGAGAAUAUUCCCGGCACAGUGGUCCGGACCAGCACCAUCCCGGAGGAGCUGGGGCGCCUGGUGUACCUGCUGACCGACAAGACAGGAACCCUCACCCGGAACGAGAUGGUAUUUAAGCGGCUGCAUCUGGGCACCGUGUCUUACGGGACGGACACGAUGGAUGAGAUCCAGAACCAGCUCAUGAAUUCCUACUCACAGACGCAGUCUCAGACCAGUGGAAACAACGCCAGUUCAACACCCCCAAGAAAAGCCCAGUCCUCAGCGCCCAAGGUCAGGAAAAGCGUGAGCAGCCGGGUCCACGAGGCCGUGAAGGCUGUCGCCCUGUGUCACAACGUGACCCCCGUGUACGAGGCCCGCGGCGCGGCCGGGGAGACCGAGUUCGCCGAGGCCGACCAGGAUUUCAGCGACGACAACCGCACCUACCAGGCCUCCAGCCCCGAUGAGGUGGCCCUGGUGCAGUGGACGGAGAGCGUCGGCCUCACUCUGGUCAACAGAGACCUCACGUCCAUGCAGCUGAGGACCCCCAGCGGCCAGAUCCUGACCUACUGCAUCCUGCAGACCUUCCCCUUCACGUCGGAGAGCAAGCGGAUGGGGGUCAUCGUCAGGGACGAGUCCACGGCAGAGAUCACGUUCUACAUGAAAGGUGCCGACGUUGCCAUGUCCACCGUCGUCCAGUAUAAUGACUGGCUGGAGGAGGAGUGCGGCAACAUGGCCCGCGAAGGCCUGCGCACCCUCGUGGUGGCCAAGAGGGCGCUGACGGACGAGCAGUACCAGGACUUCGAGAACCGCUACAACCAGGCCAAGCUGAGCAUCCACGACAGGACGCUCAAGGUGGCCGCCGUGGUGGAGAGCCUGGAGCGGGAGAUGGAGCUGCUGUGCCUGACGGGGGUGGAGGACCAGCUGCAGACGGACGUGCGGCCCACCCUGGAGAUGCUGCGCAACGCGGGCCUCAAGAUAUGGAUGCUGACGGGCGAUAAACUGGAGACGGCCACGUGCAUCGCCAAGAGUUCUCACCUGGUGUCUCGAAUGCAGGACACGCACGUUUUCAGGCCGGUAACCAGUCGGGGAGAAGCCCAUUUGGAACUGAAUGCCUUUCGAAGGAAGCAUGACUGUGCACUGGUUAUAUCCGGGGACUCCUUGGAGGUCUGCCUGAAGUACUACGAGCACGAGUUCGUGGAGCUGGCCUGCCAGUGCCCGGCCGUGGUCUGCUGCCGCUGCACGCCCACGCAGAAGGCCCACAUCGUCAGGCUGCUGCAGCAGCACACGGGCAGACGCACGUGUGCCAUCGGUGACGGAGGGAACGACGUGAGCAUGAUCCAGGCAGCAGACUGCGGGAUCGGGAUCGAGGGGAAGGAGGGCCGGCAGGCCUCGCUGGCGGCCGACUUCUCCGUCUCGCAGUUCAAGCACAUCGGCCGCCUGCUCGUGGUGCACGGGCGCAGCAGCUACAAGCGGUCGGCGGCACUCAGCCAAUUUGUCAUGCACCGCGGCCUCAUCAUCUCCACGAUGCAGGCCGUGUUUUCCUCCGUCUUCUACUUCGCGUCCGUCCCUCUGUACCAGGGAUUCCUCAUGGUGGGGGCGCCCGCCCGGCAGCGGGGAAGCCCGUCCGCACAGCGGCGGCCCGGGGCCCGUGGCGAAGGCUGCGCUCAUGGCGCUGCCAGAGCUACAGAGCGGGAGGCCUGUGUCAGACAAGAGCAGACCGCAGUUCCCUCCCCUCACCCUGGUGACCGCGCCAGCGGGACACGGGUCUCCCGGCCUCAGCGUCUUCCCAGGUCGGCGGAGGACAAGCCAGCGGGUUAUCGCACCCUGUGGAGCCCGGGUCAAGGGCACGGUUACAUGCGUGUCGCCUGGCGGCUCCCUGAACCCCGAGAAUCCCGGGGAUUUCAGCGAGAGGCAUCGGGGGCAUCGGGGCGCAACGUGGGCUGAUAUCAGGGCGAAGCUGGGCGGGCGAGGUCCCGUCGCGAGUGACGGGGCUCCCUCGGCCUCCCGUCCUGUGUCCUGGCCUCCUGCCCCCGGGCCAAGGGCGUCCGCUGCCUCCGCACGCCCGUGUCUCCAGAGUGGACGUCAGAGCGAACUGGGGACCUGGUGGGACCAGCUCUGGGGGUGUCUGGGGGCGCAGGGCAGGCGGGAGGGGCGGCGGGAGGCUGGCGAGGGGUGGGCCGAGCCCGGGGUGUGGGCGCAGGAGAGCUUUCCAGGAAGAGGGAGCCCUGGGGCGGGUGCUUGAGCCCCGAAGAGGACAGGGCGCUGAGCUCGGCAGCGGGGGGCCGGGGCAGUGGCGGGGGUGUGAGGUGAAGGUGCCGCUCUCCUGCCACGUGGACGCAUCCCUGAACGCCCGGCUUGCCGCCCAGCAGCCGCAGGGGCUGGAUCCCGGUCCCCCUCGCUCCGGGGCUCCAUCGUUUCUCCCCUCCGCCCCUGGCUCCUGUGUGGCUUGAGCUGUUGAACAGUUUAGGUUCUUGUGGAAAUUAGAGCCUAUCCUUCCCCACGGAACUCAUGCGGACCCUGCCCAGGUCCCUGGAGGCGGAGGGGAAGCACUGCCCCUCCCCCGCCCCCAGGCCCAGGUCAGGAUAAAGGCUUCACUGCGACUGGCUGUGGGGCUGGGCCUUGCGCCAGUUCAGGCAGCCUGCCCUUAAUGGCAGCAGGAGUUCCUGGAGUCCUUCAAAGAGAGGGAAAAGCCUAAAGGUACAGAAAGCUACAAUUUUUUUUACAUUUUUCCGUUGCUUGCUUAAGUCUUUGCAAUAAUUAUCACGUUAAUUACUCUAAACAGCACAGAAUUUGCACAGUAGUGCUGGUUAUGUCUUGAGCUUGUCCAGGGCAUUUCUUCCUCGGAGGCCAAAGAAAAAGCGUAACCAUUCUCACUUUCCAUUUUUCAAAGUGUGGAUUUGGAAGUUUCAAAGGAAGUGUCAGGGGGCAGAGGUGUUACUCCUUAGCUUUCUAGGGACUGGUGACCCAGGUGAGGCCCACCCGCACUGCUGGUUACUUCACGGAAGGAAGCUCGUGCCGAGGCCGCCCCGGUUCCCCCUGGAGCCCACCAGGCGGCACCUGGCCCACUCCCCUCACUUAGCCUUUGGUUGCGUCUGCCCACAUACCUGAGGUCCUGGGAGGGGCUGUGCCCUACCUCCACACGCCUCCCUCGGCAGGUCCUCUGGGGAAGCACCGUGCAUCCUGGCCCCACUUAGCGUUCACAGGCGUCAGCACAUCCAGGAUUCUGCAAGACCCGCUCCACAUGGUCGAGCCAAACCCCUCCUUUGCCCCACAGCUGCCGACGUCCCGUGUUCAGGCAGCAUCCGUGGAGACACGCAGGUCUGCUCUAGCUGAGGUGUCCCUCUCGUGAUGGCCACAGCUCCCAGAAGGCACCCCCGGGCCAUCACAGGUGUGCAUCCUCGCAGGGGAUUUCAGUGGGGAGCCUGAGGAUGCACGUGGGAAAACUAGCAGAUGCCGUCUUCACAGGGUGCCAGGAGGGCACGUGACAUCUGAGGAAGAGUCCUGAGCUGCAGGCAGGAGCAUGGGCGAGUGAUGAGGAGGUGGGCUCGCAGCCCGUCACCAAGGGGCACCACGGAGCGACAGGAAAUGCCCUGUCCUCCCAGCCCACGCGACUGGAAGACACGGUGAGGUACAGGGAAAAGCUGUUUUCGGACCGUGGACACCAGGCAGCAGGCACUGAUGCCGGAGACAAGGGAAGCUGGCAGAAUUCACAGCUGGAAAUCCCUGGAACCUUGGGGGGUAAAGAUUCCUUAGGCACAAAAUGCGUGAACUGUCACAGGAGAAAUUGGCAAGAUGGACUUCAUCAAAAUUAAGUCUUCGCUCUUCUAAAGACAGUAUUAAUCAAAUGAAAAGGCAGGCUGGGAAACAGUCUUUUCAGUACCUAUAUCUGAUAAGAGCUCUGUACCCAGAAUGUUUCAUGAUCUCCAAACAACUCAAUUUUUUAAGAAAAGGCUAAAGAUUUGAACGUACAU